UGCCAGCCGCCGCGGUAAGACGGAGGUGGCAAACGCUGUUCGGAAUCACUGGGCUUAAAGGGCGUGUAGGCGGCCGAUCAAGUCGGGUGUGAAAGCCCGGGGCUCAACCCCGGAAGUGCAUUGGAAACUGGCGAACUUGAGUACGGGAGAGGAAAGUGGAAUUCCGAGUGUAGGGGUGAAAUCCGUAGAUAUUCGGAGGAACACCAGUGGCGAAGGCGGCUUUCUGGACCGAUACUGACGCUGAGACGCGAAAGCGUGGGGAGCAAACAGGAUUAGAUA
rnacentral:rRNA from 1 species